rnacentral:rRNA from 1 species
AACGGCCGUACCAUGCUGAAUAUACCGGUUCUCGUUAGAUCACCGAAGUCAAGCAUCAUUGGGCGCGGUCAGUACUUGGGUGGGUGACUACCUGGGAACACUGCGUGCCGUU